UGGCUUAGUGGUAAAGAAUCUGCCUGCAAUGCAGGAGAUCCAGGUUCAAUCCCUGG
rnacentral:tRNA from 1 species